UAUCUGUUUGUUCUUGGUAUAGAUUCUAUCCCAGACCAGUGAAUAUAAAAUGAAAGUCACCCUUUUGACCGCGGUGAUGAUCAAAGUUAGGGUUCGCAACAGAAAUCGAAGAGAAAAAGACGAUUCCUAUGUUGGAAUCUGACACUAGGUGCCAUUCUCACUCAAAUAUAACUUUGAAAAGCUACGUGACAAGAACAGAGCCAAACAUGGAUCCACAGUGGUGGGUCUAUUUUUUCUCUCACAAUAAUUGCAAAGGUUGUGGGUCUGGUCGGGUGAAUCGCUAUAUCAUUGUUUUUCACGAAUACGUUUCAUUUCAUUUCGUGUCCGCUACAAGGUUGGAGCUUUCCCAAACCCUUUUUCGUUUUCUUCGAUCAAUCUGGUGAUUGAUGUUAUGGGUUGAAGGAUGAUGUGCUCUGGGGUUAGAGCCACUGAAUCUGAAGAAACUGUGACAGAGUUUGUGGUCAACGUCACUCAACACGUUACUUUCUGGUUCCCUAACAACAUCUUCCACUUGAUUUAUUUUAGACACACAGAGGUCGGUGAAAAGAAUCACUACUUUUUCGUUUAUUUUAUUGUUUUGUUUUGAGGUUUUGGUAUGUACCUGCGCCUGCGUCUGGUUUCAGAACCGCAGUACCAAUGAUCCUGUUUUCUGUCGCCGAACGCAGCGAUUACUCAGAAACCUCAUGUGAUACACUGACAUGACUAGAACAGAAUAUGCCUUCAUUUUUCGUCCUUUUAAUUUCCCCAUUAACGCAAAUUUAUGCUUCUCUGUGACACCGUGAUUCAUAUUUAACGUAUAUAUCACUAUGUUAAUCACGUUCUUAGGACAUACAAUACAAUAUUCCUCGAGUUUACAAUAUA